rnacentral:rRNA from 1 species
AUGCAAGUCGAGCGGGGUGAUGGUGCUUGCACUAUCACUUAGCGGCGGACGGGUGAGUAAUGCUUAGGAAUCUGCCUAUUAGUGGGGGACAACAUCUCGAAAGGGAUGCUAAUACCGCUUACUUCCUAGGGGGGAAAACCGGGGUUCAUUUGUGCCUUUGCUUUAAAGGAUGGCCCUAAUUCGGAUUAUCUAGUUGGGGGGGUAAAGGCCUACCAAGGAGACGAUUUUUAGCGGGUUUGGGAGGAAGUUCCGCCCCACUGGGACUGAGACCCGGCCCAGAUUCCUACGGGAGGCAGCAGUGGGGAAUUUUGGCCAAUGGGGGGAACCCUGAUCCAAGCCAUGCCGGGUGGUUGAAGAAGGCCUUAUGGUUGUAAAGCCCUUUAAGCGAGGAGGAGGCUCUUUUGGUUAAUACCCAAGAUGAGUGGACGUUACUCGCAGAAUAAGCACCGGCUAACUCUGUGCCAGCAGCCGCGGUAAUACAGAGGGUGCAAGCGUUAAUCGGAUUUACUGGGCGUAAAGCGCGCGUAGGCGGCCAAUUAAGUCAAAUGUGAAAUCCCCGAGCUUAACUUGGGAAUUGCAUUCGAUACUGGUUGGCUAGAGUGUGGGAGAGGAUGGUAGAAUUCCAGGUGUAGCGGUGAAAUGCGUAGAGAUCUGGAGGAAUACCGAUGGCGAAGGCAGCCAUCUGGCCUAACACUGACGCUGAGGUGCGAAAGCAUGGGGAGCAAACAGGAUUAGAUACCCUGGUAGUCCAUGCCGUAAACGAUGUCUACUAGCCGUUGGGGCCUUUGAGGCUUUAGUGGCGCAGCUAACGCGAUAAGUAGACCGCCUGGGGAGUACGGUCGCAAGACUAAAACUCAAAUGAAUUGACGGGGGCCCGCACAAGCGGUGGAGCAUGUGGUUUAAUUCGAUGCAACGCGAAGAACCUUACCUGGCCUUGACAUAGUAGAAACUUUCCAGAGAUGGAUUGGUGCCUUCGGGAAUCUACAUACAGGUGCUGCAUGGCUGUCGUCAGCUCGUGUCGUGAGAUGUUGGGUUAAGUCCCGCAA